rnacentral:rRNA from 1 species
CACAAGCGGUGGAGUAUGUGGUUUAAUUCGAUGCAACGCGAAGAACCUUACCUGGUCUUGACAUCCCGGAGACCCUUAGGAAACUAGGGGGUGCUCCAUCUGGAAGAAUCUGGAGACAGGUGCUGCAUGGCUGUCGUCAGCUCGUGUCGUGAGGUGUUGGGUUAAGUCCCGCAACGAGCGCAACCUUGCCUUUAGUUGCCAUCAGGUAAUGCUGGGGACUCUAAAGGAACUGCCUACGCAAGUAGUGAGGAAGGCGGGGAUGACGUCAAAUCAGCACGGCCCUUACGUCCAGGGCUACACACGUGCUACAAUGGCCGAUACAGAGGGCAGCUACCUGGUGACAGGAUGCAAAUCUCCAAAAGUCGGUCUCAGUUCGGAUCGGAGUCUGCAACCCGACUCCGUGAAGUUGGAUUCGCUAGUAAUCGCGCAUCAGCCAUGGCGCGGUGAAUACGUUCCCGGGCCUU